rnacentral:tRNA from 1 species
GCCUGGGUGGCUCAGUCGGUUGAGCAUCCGACUUCGGCUCAGGUCAUGAUCUCACAGCUCGUGAGUUCGAGCCCCGCGUCAGGCU